rnacentral:misc_RNA from 1 species
AACUGAUACUACCUGCGGGAACCUGCGGAAGGAUCAUUAAAGAGAAAACUGCCCUUUGGGUAGAUCUCCCACCCUUUGUUUAUAUUACCUUUGUUGCUUUGGCAGGCCCGUCUCUGACCACCGGCUCUUUGGCUGGUCUGUGCCUGCCAAGAGACCUCCAACUCUUGAUUUGAAGUUGUCUGAGUCUUAUAUAAUAGUAAAAACUUUUAACAAUGGAUCUCUAGAUCGGAAGAGCACACG